rnacentral:rRNA from 1 species
GACGAACGCUGGCGGCGUGCUUAACACAUGCGAGUCGAACGGAAAGGCCCUGCUUGCAGGGUACUCGAGUGGCGAACGGGUGAGUAACACGUGGGUGAUCUGCCCUGCACUUCGGGAUAAGCCUGGGAAACUGGGUCUAAUACCGGAUAGGAGCCAUUUUUAGUGUGAUGGUUGGAAAGUUUUUUCGGUGUAGGAUGAGCUCGCGGCCUAUCAGCUUGUUGGUGGGGUAAUGGCCUACCAAGGCGGCGACGGGUAGCCGGCCUGAGAGGGUGGACGGCCACAUUGGGACUGAGAGACGGCCCAGACUCCUACGGGAGGCAGCAGGGGGGAAUAUUGCACAAUGGGCGCAAGCCGGAUGCAGCGACGCCGCGUGGGGGAUGACGGCCUUCGGGUUGUAAACUCCUUUCGCUAGGGACGAAGCUUUUUGUGACGGUACCUAGAUAAGAAGCACCGGCUAACUACGUG